UACGUAGGAGGCGAGCGUUGUCCGGAAUUACUGGGCGUAAAGAGCGCGUAGGCGGCACGGUACGACCGGUGUGAAAGCCCCCGGCUCAACUGGGGAGGGUCACGCGAUACUGAUCGACUCGAAGGCAGGAGAGGGUAGUGGAAUUCCCGGUGUAGUGGUGAAAUGCGUAGAUAUCGGGAGGAACACCAGUGGCGAAGGCGACUACCUGGCCUGUUCUUGACGCUGAGGCGCGAAAGCUAGGGGAGCAAACGGG
rnacentral:rRNA from 1 species